GAUGAACGCUAGCGGCAGGCUUAAUACAUGCAAGUCGAGGGACAGCACAGGUAGCAAUACUGGGUGGUAACCGGCAAACGGGUGCGGAACACGUACACAACCUUCCUUUAAGUGGGGGAUAGCCCAGAGACAUUUGGAUUAAUACCCCGUAAUAUAGUUGAAUGGCAUCAUUUGAUUAUUAUAGCUACGGCGCUUAGUGAUGGGUGUGCGGCUGAUUAGAUUGUUGGCGGGGUAACGGCCCACCAAGUCUACGAUCAGUAGCUGAUGUGAGAGCAUGAUGCGCCACACGGGCGUUGAGACACGGGCACGACUCCUACAGGAGGCAGCAGUAACUAAGAUUGGUCAAUGAUCGCAAGUCUGAACCAGCCAGUCCGCGUGAAUGAUUAAUGUCCUCUGGAUUGUAAACUUCUUUUAUUUGGGACGAAAAAGGGCCUUUCUAGGUCAACUUACGGUACCAGAUGAAUAAGCACCGGCUAACUCCGUGCCAGCCGCCGCGGUAACAC
rnacentral:rRNA from 1 species